rnacentral:misc_RNA from 1 species
GGCGGUGGAAAGCCAUUAAUGGGGAUGGGGCCUAGAAUUCGUGACUAGAGACUCGCAUCUAAGAGGAUAAAUUAGGAUUUCAAACGUUGCAGCAUUGUGUUGUUCACAAAGGAGAAAUUUUCCACUUUAUACUAGUUGGUUGAGAAGCAGUCGUUGUUAUUAAUAUCUUUGCAGUUGGAGAGGCAAAUUCCACAAUACAAUCGGUCUGCCCAUAUUUGUUUGUUUAUGAGGUCAUCCAUGACAUCGCAAAUUUUAAGCAAAACCCUGUAUAAUUUUCCGAACUAAUAUGUCAAGAAUUUGAAUUUUCAAACGCUACAAGUCUUGGCAUUUAUUAAGGAUAACUG